AUAAGCAUAACCCAAAAGGUUUGCACCUUGAACUGGAGCACCAGCAACUGUUGCUGCAGUAUGAGUGCCAUGGCCGUCUUGAUCUCGUGGCGAUUUAUACUCUUCUUGUUCAUUGAUUUUGCCUGAAGCUGCCUCGUAUCCACGGUAAAACACUCUAGCUCCCACUAUCUUUCUGUUACAGUGAUGCUCAGUGAAACCGCGACCUACAUCACACAUGCCUUUCCAGUGAGCAGGAACCGGUCUCAUAGAGCUAUCAUUGAAGCUGGGGUUCUCGGGCCAUAUCCCGGUAUCCAGCACGCCUACAACCACAUCAUGGUCAGAUAUUUUAUCAGACCAGAUGUGCAUUCCAUCUUCCUGCUCGAGCCCAAGGAACUUUGGACUUCUAGUGGUGUGUAACUGGUAUACAAUCUCGGGGAAGACAGCCAACACACCGUUUUGAUCUUGCAGCAUCUCAGCUUCUUCUUCACUAAGUUGAGCAGCAACUCCAUGAAAUGCAGUCUGGUAAGUGUAAAGCAUCCUGUCAUUAUCUGUAUCUUCUUCUUUUUCGGGUUUUGAAGCUACUGAUUUUAUCAUUGACGAGUACCAUUGUUUAUGGUCACUGAAUUCUUCUGGUUUUGCCCACUUAUCUACUUGUAUUAUAUAUGUUUUCUUUGUUGAUGGGCUGUUUUUGGUACAUGAAACUAGGGUGAUGAAAAGAAAGAUGGACACAAGAACACACCAUUUUCCUGAAAUCCUUACCAUUUCUUUCGUCAAAAAGAAAACAAAAAACGGGGCAAAAUUGGGUUGAAGAACUAGAUAUUUGAAUUGAGAAUAGGAAAAUGCAGAGUGAUCUU
rnacentral:lncRNA from 1 species